AUUGAACGCUGGCGGCAGGCCUAACACAUGCAAGUCGAACGAGUGGCGGACGGGUGAGUAAUGUCUGGUAAACUUCCUGAUGGAGGGGGAUAACUACUGGGAACGGUCGCUAAUACCGCCUACCAUCGUAUUUGCCCAGAUCGGAUUAGCUAGUAGGUGGGGUAAAGGCUCACCUAGGCGACGAUCCCUAGCUGGUCUGAGAGGAUGACCAGCCACACGGGAACUGAGACACGGUCCAGACCCCUACGGGAGGCAGCAGUGGGGAAUAUUGGAAAAGGGGCGCAAGCCUGAGCCAGCCAUACCGCGUGGGUGAAGAAGGUCUUCGGAUUUUAAAGCACGUUAAGUGGGGAGGCGUUACCAACAGAAUAAGCACCGGCUAACUUCGUGCCAGCAGCCGCGGUAAUAC
rnacentral:rRNA from 1 species